UGGAGCCCACAGUUCUGCUAUCUCCGAGUCUCAAUCAAAGAAGCUGGGGUCCCUCCAGCUUUCCCCGCCUACUCAGGACCUGGUCCCGGGCUCCAGAGAGGUGCUCACUGUUCCAACUUGUGUGCCAAGCUCGAAGGAAUAAUUAGACUGAGGAGGAGAGGCCGGUCUUUAAAGGAAGCGACGUGUUGCCGGGCAGCUGCUGAGCGCCCGUUGAAAAUUAGCUGUGCCGAGGCCUACAGGCUGAUUCCCGGCUGCCAGGUGUAAGCUGACUCCAUUCUCCACAAGCAGAAGAGAAGCUGAAACCCAGAAUGCCCACCUGCAUCCUUCCUGGCCUGAUGAGCUCCCACAAACUCCUGGUAGAGAAACCGGCAUUUGAUGGAUUCUCACCUGAGGAGAACUGGACUGAAAGUGAAAACAACACAGAAGAAAUACAACCAGAAGGUGAAGGGAGGCUGAGCCCUCCUUGUACCCCAUCACCCUGAGGCCUCGCUGGCCUACAGAGGCUCAGCUCUGCAGUUUCCAGGUGUGGUUGCCGGUAAAUAAACACCUUUAUUUGCUUUUGUC